UCAAGAAUCUUCCCCAAUGGCCGAAAGGCUGAGGGAGCGACGCCGCGUGUAGGAAGACGCCCUUCGGGGUGUAAACUACUUUUCUCUGGGAAAAACCUUGAUGGUACCAGAGGAAUAAGGGGCUGCUAACUUCGUGCCAGCAGCAGCGGUAAUACGAAGGCCCCGAGCGUUAUCCGGAUUUAUUGGGCGUAAAGAGCUCAACGGCUGCCCGGUCCGUCCCUGGUUAAAUCUUACGGCUCAACCGUGAGACCGCUGGGGAAACCGCCGGGCUUGAGGUCGGGAGAGGCGCGUGGAACUGCCGGUGUAGUAGUAAAAUGCGUUCAUAUCGGCAGGAACACCAAAGGCGAAGGCAGCGCGCUAGAACGUACCUGACGCUCUACGAGCGAAAGCGUGGGUAGCGAAUGGG
rnacentral:rRNA from 1 species